rnacentral:rRNA from 1 species
GACGAACGCUGGCGGCGUGCUUAACACAUGCCAGUCGAACGGAAAGGCCCUGCUUUUGUGGGGUGCUCGUGUGGCGAACGGGUGAGUAUAACGUGAGUAACCUGCCCUUGUCUUUCGGAUAACUUCACGAAACUGGGGCUAAUACCGGAUAGGAUCUCCUGCACCAUGGUGGGGGUUGGAAAGUUUCGGCUGUUGGGGAUGGACUCGCGGCGUACGAGCUAGUUGGUGGGGUAGGUGAUUACCCAGGCGUUCACGGGUAGCCGGCCUGAGAGGGUGAUCGGCCACCUUGGAACGUAGACACCGUCCAGACGCCUACGGGAGGCACCAGUCGCGAAUGGGCGGCAACGGGCGGAAGUCUUACACAGCGAGCCCGAGUGUGUGACGACGGCGCUGGGUUCGUAAUGCCCGGCUUUGGGUUAAGAACAGCUGUCGCCUGAGACGAAGCGGUCGUGACGGUACCGAAUCAAGAAGCACCGGCUAACUACGUG